rnacentral:lncRNA from 1 species
UUUUUUGUUUUUUUGCUAUAUUAGCUCAUGAUUGUAACGAUGUUGCUCAAUGAACAACAUGAAGUUAUUGUUUAUCUCAGAAACUCCCAGAUGAUGCAGUGGUGGUGUGCAGUGGGUCACGCGUACUAUGAUACUAUACACAAAUGGAUACAAGCCGGCCGCUCUGGUUGCUCAUUUCUCAUGUGGGCCUGGCUAAUUUACUACUUAAAUGGGCCUGAAGUAGAUUUGUCUCUUCUUCUUUUUUUGGAAGUGAGGUAGAUUUGUUAUUGUUGUUGUUACUCGUGUUUCUUUUCUUCUCUUCUUUUUUAGGAAAGCCAAGAGGAAUAACGCACUGACCUCCCGUGGUGCCCGGUACAGUCACCGAAGGCGCCGGCGCUGGAACGGCCGCUUCGCCGUUCAUCUGCAGCUUCACCAUCGGAGCGCCGGUGUAGAACUUGUCCCCGAGCUCGGACCUCAGGUUGCACCGCGAGCCGGCGAGCCUCGCUCCCUCCCCGUUAGGCUUGAACCCACUCCCGUUCCACCACAGCGUCACCAGAUCGUGGAGGCAUCCCCGGCACUGCGCCGGCGACAGGUCCCCGGCGCACUGCGCCAUGGACCAGAUGUUGGGGACCCGCGGGUCGAGCCCCACCAGCUGCCCCGUGGCGAAGUACAGCCUCGGCGACGACGGCGACGACCUGUCCACCGCGUGCGCCGCGGUGGCGUUGAGCAGCCGCGUGACGGCGCCGUCGUAGGCCGAGACGUUGACGCCGGCGGGGUUGCUGGUGCCGCUGAUGAGCGGCACCAUGCCGGUGUUGUUUGGCGAGGAGAGGAAGUCCGUGACGGCGACGCGGACGUAGCACUGGUUGUAGACGAGGGCGGCGUCCCGGGUGCGGUUGCAGACACGCUGCACGUCCUCGCCGGUGCGGGUGCCGCAGUCGAAGCAGUCGGACGCGCUGACGUCGCCGCGGCAGAGCACGAGGCCGUAGACGGCGUCCGCGCCGGCGCCGGCGGAGCCCGACGCGAAGAGGGCGGGCGAGUUGGAGGCGUUGGCGCGGAGCACGGAGACGAGGCGGAGGAGGUUGUCGGCGUAGGUGCUGCCCGCCGAGUAGUUGCCUCUCUGGCCGUCGCAGACCGCCCACGGCUGCGCUGCGGCGUAGGGGAUGACCAUCACCAGCGCGAGCGCCGCUAGGUCGACUACAGGAACGCGCGGCAUGGCGCGGCGCCCGCGAGCGCAGCAGCCGGCGCGGCGCGGGUGGAAGAAUUUGUGAGAUUAUUGCAGCAAGCUACUUGUUGCAUGCAGCAGAUGGAAACUUGACGGAUCAGAGGAGCUCAACAGGAUAUUGCAUGGUGGUACGAUUGUAUCAUUGCAUAGCAGGUGGGUGGGUGGCCAUGGCAAGUGGCUCGCGACAUGGCCAAUCGAUGCGUUUCCUUUGGACGACAGGGAACACGCGAAUUCCAAAAGAGGACGACGACGGAAAGGAGGAUAAUGCAAGUUGCGCCGCGGCAGGUUUCGCAGAAACGUGACCGGAGCGGGUGCACGUGGUCGCUGGAUGGAGUAAACAAGCCCAGAGCCGUCGACAUCGUCACCGGACAUGCCGCGGCGAGAUACAGCUUUUGACUUGGAAAGACCGCGGCGCAUGCCGCUGGUGGUUUACUUUGUUCAGCCGCGGAGGCUGCGAGUGGCCAGGUCGCUAGCUACUAGCAAGGGCUGGUAGUAAUUUACACGCAGCAACUACUUCCAAGUGCUGCUGCUGUAUGUACGCACGUUCAAAAUGUUCAAGGUCGUAGGUCCACAGCCACACCUCAGCUGCCCACGCGCGGUUGCUCCGAUCGAUCCGUGCAGCACCGUCGUCGUCGGAAAUCGUUGCCUUGAAUCCUGUGGGCAUCCGGGCGCACAUGCAUUCCGGCGACGCGACGCCUGCGAACCCCGGCGAGGCGGCGACGCGCGGCCUCGUUCAAGACGGGCUCCUUUUGGGCGUCGGCUUCGUCUCUUGCCCCGUCUGCUUGGGCGGGCGGGGCCCGCGGCGGGUGAACGGGAGCGAUAGUCGUGUCCCGCAGCAUCGGGGUGAUGAACCUGUCAACAGCCAUUGCCUUGUUGCCAACUUGCCGGGGUGGCACCACAACCCAAGCUGCCCCAUAUCUGGUGUACUAUGGAGACCGCCAAUGGCAGAAUGCAGAUAUAAACUAGGAGAUCUGGAGCCUCAUGGCAUCGUGGGCCGCCCAACAAUACGUCAUCUUAUUACACUGUACAGCAAUGACCCAAAACAAGGAUUUUUCAUAUACUUUUCUAAAAGCUUGAAGCAGCACCAGUAACAAGAAACUUUCUUUUUGAGAACUCGGUAAAAAGAAGCACAAACUACACUUCGCGGUGAACGAACUGCACCAGUUUCUCUGAAGUCUGAACUACUAUACAACAAGAAACAAACAGGCAACAAUAUGUCUCUCUCCACAAAGGCCGUGUCUUAAGCCUUAGCUGGCGGAAGGAUAUGAAACGGUACCGGAAGCAUAAGAGUAACCUGAGGUACCUGAGCUUGGAUCCAAGAAAAAUGUUGGUCUCGCAGCAGGAGGCAGUGAACUGGUAGCAUCACCGUUGAGCAUCACCAUGACAUCCGACAUCGUAGGCCGGUCCACGGGAUUCUGCUGAAGGCACAACAGACCAAUAUUGACGCAUUUUAGCACCUCAGUCUCUGAGUAGUUCCUCCCUAGGGAAUCAUCUAUCAUCUCUGCAAUUGUUCCCUCAGACCAAUGCCUCCAUACCUAGCAUCGGUUUCAUGGGUUGUUCAGAAUAAAUUAAACAACUAUACAAUCUAGCAAUAUGCAGUUACUGUUACAUGCAAGAGAGAGUGUUUAUUGCCGAGUACUCACGAUGCUUAUAAUGUCUUCGUUUUGCUCAUGGAAGUAAUGUCCGGUGUUUCUCUGCCCCGUUAUGAUCUCUAUAACAAGGAUACCGAAACUGAACACAUCCGAUUUCGUGGAGUACUGUCCACGCAUCACGUACUCAGGAGACAUGUAGCCACUGCAAUGAGAAGAAUCAGCACCAUGUUCAGUUAGAGGCCAUUAUGUGUCUGAAUGGAAGACUAAACUGAAUGAUUAACAGAUUGACAAUAAUUGAUUACAAUGUCCCGACGAUGCGGUUCGUCACAUCUCGUGUCUGGUCUUGCUCGAAGAGCCUGGCUAGGCCGAAGUCACCAAUCUUAGGGUUCAUGUCCGCAUCCAGCAAGACAUUGCUUGCUUUCAUGUCACGGUGGACAAUUUUCUUCUGAGAGUCUUCAUGAAGAUACUGUAGUCCUCGAGCAAUUCCUUCUAUUAUGUUGAAUCGUUUCCUCCAAUCGAGCCGUCUUUUUUCUUCAGGGUCUAACAGACGAAUCAGAAUUUCAAGGUUAAUGAAAAUUCAGAGAUGUUAGUAUGUAGAUUCUUGGAAGAUUUCUAGUACCAAAAAGAAUGGUGUCAAGGCUUUUGUUUGCCAUGUACUCGUAGACGAGCAAUCUCUCUCCCUCUUCUAAGCAGAAACCCUCCAAUCGGACGAGAUUCUUGUGAUGAAGUUUGGCCACCAAAACUAGCUCAUUUCUUAGUUCUUCUAGCCCCUGAUUUGAACCCUUUGACAGCCUCUUCACGGCUACUUCUUGUCCAGAAAGAUCUCCCUGCAUAAAGUUAUUAUCUCUUCCAUGAUGUUAAUUCAAUUAAUGGAAUAUACAGCGCUGAAAAGUUUUAAAAGCUUCACAUAUUAUAAUUCACAAUAAUUGAGUACUGCCUUUAAAAAACGAACUUGAGUACUAAAUCCAUGCUGUCGCUAUUUAUGUUUUACGUCAUAUUUUGAUCAUCCUUGUUGGUUUAGAUCAACUGUAUGAUGUACAUUGUACAACAAUAACGUCGAUUUUUUUACAUAAAAAAUUGCUGCAAUUUUGCAAAGGAGCUAUUAUUUAUUGAAAAGGGUGUCACACUGUCAUCAUUACCUUAUAAACUGCACCAAAUCCCCCUUCGCCAAGUUUGCUGCUUUCAUCAAAGUAAUUUGUUGCUACUUGCAGUGAUGACAGAGAUAACAAUGUUGACUUGAUGCUCUCUAAGUCCUCAACUGUAUGUGCUGGUAAUUUUCCAUCGAUUCAAUUACUGAUAGUGCCAAAUUUACCCCAAAGGAAAUGGUAAUGCUAAAGAAUGAAAAGUAUAUAGCUUCAUGCCAGACUAUACAGAGGACUUACUUCGGUGGGGAAGCUUUGUUCCUAGGGACCUUCUCUUCUUACUCACAUUCCAGAUAUAAAGGGUUAUCGCAGCUACUACAGCGACAAACACUAUUGGCAAUAUAAUUCCAAGAAGUUUGCCAGCUGAAUUGUUUUUACCUGGGAUUUUGUCAAAAAAAAAUAGUUCAAGUUAUUCCUCCGGCACUACAUGUGUCAAUCUUUUAUUUUAUUUUAUUUUAUUUUAUUUUAUUUUAUUAAUUUUUUUUUUUUGGGGGGGGGGGGGUUGUUGCUAUGUAUCUUAGCUCAUGAUUGUGAUGAUGUUGCUCAGUGAAUAAAAUGAAAUGAUUGUUUACCUCAGAAAUUCCCAGAUGCAGUGGUGUGUGGUACAGUAGUAGGCACACAGUAGUGCAAUUUGCCCAAUUUAAGGGAUUUUUUAAUUACAAGCGGUGUUGAAAACAUUCGCUGGACAGCAGGAUUUGUCGAAAUACAAAUGAAUUGUUCAUCUUUCCCUAUUAAUAUAAACUUUUUGUUUGAACUGGCUGAUAAAUGCAACUUACGUGUGCUUGAGGUAGAUUUCUCUCUCUAUAAAGUGAGAUUUGUUACUAUUUUGUUUUUCUUUUGUGAGUUUGUCUCUUCUUUUUUAGGAAAAACCAAGAGGAUUAAAGCACUCACUCCCGUACAGGCACUCUCUUCUCUCUUUUUUUUAUGCGUAUAAAUCUGUUUUUUUAUAAACAAAUUAACCAAGUAGAUAUAUAAGACCACGUUGGAUCCACCCAACUAAUAAAGUUUAGCUAAGGGUACUUAGAUCCACUAGCUAAAUGCUAGUUGAAGAGAUUUUUUUCAUAUUCUAUCCUUCCCUCCCACUUUAAAACUUUCUCUUCCGAGAAAGGUGAGGGACAAUUUGAUCUUUUAGCCAAUUUAGCUGUGUUUAGCUGGAUCCUAUUUGGAUCUAGCGAGCUAAAAUUUAGCUGGUGCUUCAAACGGGAUUUGAAAGUAAGGAUUUGGUAGUGACCUCCAGCAGUGGCCGGCACAACAUCCGUUGACGGCGCUGGAGCGGCCGCCUCGCCGUUCAUCUGCAGCUUCACCAUCGGGCUGCCAGUGUAGAACGGACGUCCCAGCUCGAACCUCAGGUUGCACCGCGACCCGGCGAUCCUGGCGCCAGUCCCGUUGAGCGGGAACACCUUCCACCAGCGUGCCACCAGGUCGUCCAGGCACCUCCGGCACAGCUCCGGCGACAGGUCUGACGCGCACUGCGCCAUGGACCAGAUGUUGGGGACCUUCGGGUCCAGCCCCACCAGCUGCCCCGUCGCGAAGAGCUUCGGCGACUGCCCCAUAGCGUACCGCGCCGUCGCGUUGAGCAGGCGCGUGACCGCGGCGUCGUAGGCGGAGACGUCGACGCCGCGGCUGAUGCUCUGGCCGCUGAUGAGGUAAUUCUGGCCGGUGUUGUCGGCGGAGGCGAGGAAGUCGGUGCCGGCGACGCGGACGUAGCACUGGUUGUAGACGAGCGCGGCGUCGCGGGUGCGGUUGCAGACACUCUGCACGUCCUGCCAGGCGCGGGUGCCGCAGUCUAAGCAGUCGGACGAGCUGAGGUCGCCGCGGCAGAGCAUGAGGCCGUACACGGCGGCGGCGGCGUUGGCGGUGGUGGAGCCGGUCGCGAAGAGGGCGGGCGAGGUGGAGGCGUUGGCGCGGAGCACGGAGACGAGGCGGAGGAGGUUGUCGGCGUAGGUGCUGCCCGCCGAGUAGUUGCCGCUCUGGCCGUCGCAGACCGCCCAUGGUUGCGCUGCGGCGUAGGGGAUGACCAUCACCAGCGCGAGCGCCGCUAGGUCGACUACAGGAACGCGCGGCAUGGCGCGGCGCCCGCGAGCGGAGCAGCCGGCGCGGCGCGGGCGGAAGAAUUUGUGAGAUUAUUGCAGCAAGCUACUUGUUGCAUGCAGCAGAUGGAAACUUGACGAAUCAGAGGAGCUCAACAG